CCCGUCUCCUCUGCCUUUUUUGACUUCCAGCUCCCCCUCCUCCUACAACUGGGUGGAGAAAAGUCACCUCCCUCUGCUCCACCAAAAAUGCAAAUCCCAUUAAGAUAAGGGAGAAGUGGCUGGACCUGUGAGAAAAAAACUCCAGAGAAAAGCCCACAUAAGCACAAGGAAAACUCCACUCUGGGACCACAGAUCUGCAGGGAUUGAACCCAGCUACACAGCGGUACACAGUCGGGCCUCUGCAGUCAGAAGAUCUUGGUGCCUUAUCAGAAAAGCAAAACAAAAACCCAAGCUGUACCAGGCUGAUGUAAACAGAGCUGCCAACUCAAUAACUAGCAAAAACCUUCUGCCCAUUAAAAAUGACGAGUCAACCUUGUAUCGAUCUGUCGUGGUGAAGCGGGAGAUGAGCCAGAAGGCAGAAAUCUCGGUUUACCGGUCUGUCUACGUUCCUACCCUCAUCUAUGGUCACGAGCUUUGGGUAGUGACCGAAAG